AUGGGACUCAGGCUUCUCUGUGGUGUGGCCUUUUGUUUCCUGGGAGUAGGUCUCAUGGAUGCAGAAGUAACCCAAGUCCCAAGAUAUCUGAUCAAAAGAAAGGGAGAGAAAGUGUUGAUGGAAUGUUUACAGGAUAUGGACCAUGAAAGAAUGUUCUGGUAUCGACAAGACUCAGCUCUGGGGCUGCAGCUGCUCCACUUCUCAUAUGGGGUUGAGAAUUAUGAGAAAGGAGAUUUCCCUGAUGGGUACAGUGUCUCUAGGAAGAAGAAGAAGGGCUUCUCCCUGAUCCUGGGGACUGCCAGCACCAACCAGACAUCUGUGUACCUCUGUGCCAGCAGUAGAUCCACAGCGCUGCACAACCACAUCCUCUCUGCACAAAAAAGGCAGGUGCCAGAGGGAAGUGACCCUAACUCAGGGCUGAGUUACACCGGCUACUUUGAACAAAGGUGGCCACUCAGUGGAACCAAGCCCAUGGACGUACAAUUUGGUCUGGAAAGCACAGGAUAUCUUUUAUGCCCCAUGCACCAUCGUUUCUGA